rnacentral:lncRNA from 1 species
GACCUUUUAUCUGUGCUGCUGGAGGAGAUCAAGGCUAGACCCAACCACCUACCAUCCUCGUGAGCCAAAGCUUAGAGCAGCCGCGCAUCAGGAAGGGCUGAACUGAGACAGAAGGAAGAGUUAGAGAGGGCGGAGAAGGAUCUGGGAAUCCAGUCACACCGGCUUCAAGCAGGCUCCCGGCAUUAGCGUUUGAAGGCGGGCAUCGCCAGAGGUCUAUCUCGGUGUACCAGUGUCCCUGUGUUUCCGCGCCCGCUCGGCCACCAUGAUGCAAAUCUGCGACACAUACAACCAGAAGCACUCGCUCUUUAACGCCAUGAAUCGCUUCAUUGGCGCGGUGAACAACAUGGACC